rnacentral:misc_RNA from 1 species
GUGAAUCAUCAAAUUUUUGAACGCAAAUUGCACUCUCUUCGGAGAGUAUGCCUGUUUGAGGGUCAGUUUAAAUUAAAAAUCGAGGUGUUGUUUUUUUUUGUGACGCAUCGGUAUUGGGUUAUCUUUGUCCUUUGGAUUUUUUAAGAGACCUAAUAUUGAUACUUUUUGCAUCUCAGACGUACAUAAAGAAUAUUUUUUUUUUUUUUCUGUCCGGAGUUUCCAAAUUUUUAUUUGGUUUGAACA